rnacentral:rRNA from 1 species
CCUACGGGUGGCAGCAGUGGGGAAUAUUGGACAAUGGGCGAAAGCCUGAUCCAGCCAUGCCGCGUGUGUGAAGAAGGCCUUCGGGUUGUAAAGCACUUUCAGUGGGGAAGAAAGCCUUGGGGCUAAUACCCUCGAGGAAGGACAUCACCCACAGAAGAAGCACCGGCUAACUCCGUGCCAGCAGCCGCGGUAAUACGGAGGGUGCGAGCGUUAAUCGGAAUUACUGGGCGUAAAGCGCGCGUAGGCGGUCUGAUAAGCCGGGUGUGAAAGCCCCGGGCUCAACCUGGGAACGGCAUCCGGAACUGUCAGGCUAGAGUGCAGGAGAGGAAGGUAGAAUUCCCGGUGUAGCGGUGAAAUGCGUAGAGAUCGGGAGGAAUACCAGUGGCGAAGGCGGCCUUCUGGACUGACACUGACGCUGAGGUGCGAAAGCGUGGGUAGCAAACAGGAUUAGAUACCCUAGUAGUC